AUGCUUUCUCCAUUAUUUUGCAGGAUCAGGCAGUUAAUAGAUGAUAACCUUAACCUCUCGAAGAUAUUUGGCUUUUCAGCAUGUGAACCAGGGGUCUUUAUUGUUGAAUUUGUCCUUUGCAUUUUAUGGCAGUUGGUUGAUACCGCAUUAGAUGAUGAGAGUCUGCUAGAGUUAACCCCAGAAAAGAAAGCUCAAUGGCCAACUAGGCCUCAAGAUAUUAGUGCAUUUGAAGUUUCUUUUUCGGAACAAAAGCCAGAGAAAAUUGAGAAAUUACAGAGGAUGAAUAGUGUGAUAACUAUAGAGCUUAUUGGACAUCUUCUACACGAUAAAGUAAUUACUCGCAUCCUCUCAUUGGCACGCGAAAACAUGCAAACUCAGUGGGGACUAUUCACUUAUCGGUUACAAUUGCUUGUGGCAAACUCAUCCACCUUACAAGCUUCGACGAUGUCCUUGGAAGCAUUUCAGCAGUUGAUUCUAGAUGACCACAAUGUCCAUGGCGAAAAUAAACAUAGUUUGCACAAAAAAUUCCACCCCAUGGUGGCUUCUAACCCUCUAUCUUCUCCAAAUGGACAUUGCCUUGGUGGUAGUUAUUCUGCACUAUGGACUCCUAUCGAUAUGUAUCUUGAGGAUUGCCUUGAUGGCUCAAUUGCUGCCACAAAUUCCAUUGAGAUUUUAAGUGGUUUGGUCAAGGCACUUCAAGCAGUCAAUAGAUCCAGCUGGCAUGAUGCAUUCAUGGCCCUUUGGAUAGCAUCAGUUCGCCUUGUACAAAGGGAACGAGAACCGAUUGAAGGCCCUGUGCCUCACCUCGAAACACGACUAUGCAUGCUUUUGUCUAUUGCAACACUUGCAAUUGCUGACAUAAUUGAGGAAGCAGAUUCACGUCGUGGUGAAACUGACCUCAGCAGUCACUGGAAACAAAAAACAGCAACUGAUGAUCUGCGUAAGGAAUUGAUGUUAAGCUUACAGGCUCUUGGCGAUUACGAAAGUCUGCUUGUUCCUCCUCCAUGUAUCAUCUCGGCAGCUAAUCAGGCUGCUUCCAAAGCUGCAAUGCUUGUUUCAGGAAUUAACAGUGGCAGUGGCUACAUGGAAAGUAUCAAUGAAACUGGAAACAUGAGGCACUUGAUUGUGGAGUCAUGUAUCUCAAGAAACUUAUUGGAUACGUCAGUUUACUAUUGGCCUGGUUAUAUUAAUGGUCAUGUCAACUCCAUGUCUCAUGCAAUUCCUAGCCAACUUGCUGGGUGGGCGGCCUUCAUGAAGGGUACACCAUUAACUCAGUCACUGGUUAGUGUGUUGGUCUCAAGUCCUGCUUCAAGCUUAGCAGAGCUCGAAAAGUUAUUUGAAGUUGCAGUCAACGGAUCAGAUGAUGAUAAGGUGUCUGCUGCUACUGUUCUCUGUGGAGCAACCUUGUUACGAGGUUGGAAUUUUCAGGAGCAUACAGUUCGCUUAGUCGUUAAACUGCUCUCACAUUCUGAUCCUGCUGAUUAUUCUGGUAGAGAGAGCCAGUUAAUAAAGCAUGGUCCAAUGCUUAAUGUUAUUCUAACUGGAAUAUCACCCGUAGACUAUGCUCCAAUCUUCUCAUUCCAUGGUUUGGUUCCAGAACUGGCUACUGUGCUCAUGGCGAUAUGUGAAGUUUUUGGGUGUCUUUCCCCAAGUGUUUCAUGGACGCUGGGAGCAGGGGAGGAAAUAUCUGCUCACACGGUCUUCUCAAAUGCGUUCAUUCUUCUGUUAAGACUAUGGAAGUUUAAUCAUCCACCACUUGAAUAUUGUAUAAUGGGAGAUGGUGCUCCAGUUGGCUCACAACUAACUCCUGAGUAUCUUCUGUUAUUGAGGAACUCCCAAGUUCUUUCUGCCAGCAGUUCAUCCAAAAGUAGAAGCAGCCAGAAGCAAUUACCUGUUACUUCAAGUCGAUCAUCUCAGAACCCUAUUUUUAUGGAUUCUUUUCCGAAGUUGAAAUUGUGGUACCGGCAGCACCAAGCUUGCCUGGCCUCGCCUCUCUCUGGACUUGCUCAUGGAACACCUGUACAUAACAUUGUAGACAGCCUUCUCAACUUGAUGUUCAGAAAGGCCAACAAAGGAAGUACAUCUAUUGGUUCUGUAUCUGGGAGUAGCAGCAUAAGUAACUCCUCUGGUCCUGGUGGUGACGGUUCACAUCUUUGGCCCCAGUUACCUGCUUGGGAAAUACUAGAAGCUGUUCCAUUUGUGGUUGAUGCUGCUCUAACUGCUUGCUCCCAUGGAAGACUAUUUCCGCGUGAACUGGCUACAGGUCUCAAAGAUCUAGCUGAUUUUCUGCCUGCUUCUACUGCAACAAUCGUAAGCUACUUUUCAGCUGAAGUGACACGUGGUGUUUGGAAACCUGCAUUCAUGAAUGGAACAGAUUGGCCUAGCCCGGCUGCCAAUUUAUCCAUGGUUGAAGAACAUAUCAAGAAAAUUGUAGCUGCUACUGGCGUUGAUGUUCCAAGACUUGCCACAGGGGGAACUACUUUGGGUAGACUUCCAUUGCCACUGGCUGCUUUUGUGAGCCUCACCAUCACAUACAAGCUUGACAAGGCAUCCGAACGUUUCCUUAACCUAGCUGGUCCAGCUUUAGAGAAUCUUGCUGCUAGCUGCCCUUGGCCAAGCAUGGCAAUUGUCGCAGCACUGUGGACUCAAAAGGUCAAGCGAUGGAGUGAUUUUCUAGUCUUUUCAGCAUCACGCACAGUCUUCCACCAUAACAAUGAUGCAGUUGUCCAGCUCCUCCGAAGCUGCUUCACUUCUAUUCUUGGCAUGUCGUCAACAUCAUUAUGCUGUUGCGGAGGUGUUGCUAGCCUUCUGGGUCACGGGUUUGGCUCUCAUUGCUCCGGUGGUCUCUCACCAGUUGCACCAGGAAUUCUCUACCUCCGGAUAUUCCGGUGCAUCAAGGACUGCUCUAUACUUGCAGAAGAUAUACUUUCCCUGCUGAUGCUUUCCGUGAAAGACAUAGCUGAGACAACAGUGUCCAGGCAUGGAUCGGACAAGCUAAAGAGGACCAAGUAUGCAAUGGGACAUGGACAGAUCUCUCUUGCUACUGCAAUGACACAAGUUAAGGUGGCGGCAUCACUUGGAGCGACACUGGUGUGGUUAUCAGGCGGUACUACCCUUGUCCAGUCUCUGUUUCAAGAGAUGUUGCCCUCUUGGUUCCUUUCUGUGCAGGAUCUGGACCGAGGAGCCAGUGGAGGAACGGUAUACAAGUUGGGUGGCCAUGCACUUGCCUACUUUGCAAUGUACUCUGGGAUGUUCGCGUGGGGCAUCGACCCGACACCAGUGUCCCGGCGUCGAGAGAGGGUUAUGCGGUCGCACCUGGAGUUCCUAGCAAGCGCAUUGGACGGAAAGAUCUCUCUAGGCUGCAACAUGUCCCUGUGGCGAGCCUACGUUUCAGGCUUCCUGGAGCUGGUAGUGGACCGCGCCCCCUGCUUGUUGCAUGAGGUCGACCUCAAGGUGCUCAAGAAGCUUAGCAUUGGGCUCCGGCAGUGGAAAGAGAAGGAGCUUGCCAUGGCCAUGCUUUGCAGGGGUGGACCGGAGGCAAUGGGUAUUGCCGCAGAGUUGAUAUUGGAUAGCGAGUGGUGA
rnacentral:rRNA from 1 species